UGAUUGGUCCAGAUGCUCUCAUUGAACACGCCCAGGCAAGGCCGCGUGAUGCAAUUGGCUAGGAGCUUGUGUCACUCUCGAGAGCUCAAUGGAGUCCCGUUUCAAGCUUACAAAACAAGGGGGGGGAAAGUGGAGAAAAUUUACACCAAUACGAGUUUAAGCCCUGGCGACCCGACAAGAGAAGGAGGCAAGAAUUAGCACCAUGGACAGAGACAAACAGCCCCUGAAUAAAGGGGGAAGACUGUAAAGUAUGAACACACUCAACGAGGAUCCCCCCUAAGUCCUGAGACCACUGUUGACUCUUAAAGACGUGGACACUGUUCAUUUAAAUGUUUAAACAAUAAAUGUCACCAGU